UCUCCUGUAGCUCAGUGUUAGAGCAUCUGACUUGGUGUGCAGAAGGUCAUAGGUUCAACUCCUGUUGGGAGAA